rnacentral:rRNA from 1 species
UACGUAGGGGGCAAGCGUUGUCCGGAAUCAUUGGGCGUAAAGCGCGUGUAGGCGGCUUGGUAAGUCCGCUCUGAAAGCCCGGGGCUCAACCCCGGGAGGCGGGUGGAUACUGUCAAGCUCGAGUCCGGAAGAGGCGAGUGGAAUUCCUGGUGUAGCGGUGAAAUGCGCAGAUAUCAGGAGGAACACCAGUGGCGAAGGCGGUCUCGUGGGCCGUGAACUGACGCUGAG